ensembl:lncRNA
UUUCCCUAAAACCCCGCUCCCGUCGCUCCUCCCCAGGCCCAGCUGACCACGGAUGUGAUGCCGGACCAGAAGACGUUCACGGAUCCCAAGGCGGGAAGCAGCCGGCAGCGGGAGCUCCGGAUCCUGCUCCUCAUUCCCAUCCUGAUCCCGGCGCUGGGGCUAUAGAGGGGCGGGAAGGAGCGGCCGGUGGGACGGGGACGCUCGGACCAGUGCCACCAGUGCCACCAGUGCCACCAGUGCCCACCGCUGCCGCGCUUGUGCCGGAGACUGGAACGCUCCCAAAUCCCGGGAAUGCCGAGCUCCGGAGAGGCAGGAGGAGCCUUCACCACGCUGGGAAACUUCGGUGGUUUUCUUCCAACUUUUCAUUUUUCCCGGUUUUUUUUGGGGGGGUUUUUUUUUUUUUUUGGUCUUUUCUGGGAGCAGCUCCUGGGGAAACUCCUUGGAACAGGCCUAAAAUGGGGGUCUGGAGCUGCCAGCAGUGCCGAGGAGGGGAAAAACAUCGGAGAAAAGCUUUGGGAAGGUGAAUUGCAGGAUUCUUUGCUCUGGGGUGGCCACAGGGACAGCGAGGAUUCCGCAUGGGAACAUCCCGGAGGACGAAGGCGCCGUCGGGAGCCACCUGGAUGGAACUCCCGCAGCUCUUCCCGUUGGUUUUUGGGGGAUUUUGGUUGGGAUUUUUCCUCGGAGAGUUUCCGAGUGGAAGAGAAAAGAAACUGGUGUGAAACGUGUGAGGCUGUGCUGAUGUUUUCAAUCAUUCCAGGGGAAGAGGUUCCAUUUUCCUUUUUUUUCUUUUUGGAAUUUGGGUUGGGAGUGGAUUUUGACCUAUUCAGGGUCAGAAUUCCCUAUUUUCCCUCUCCACUUUAUUUCCUAUAUACAUAUAACAUAUGGAUAUUCCCAUAUACACAACCUUACCCAUCCUGUGGCUUUUUAAUUCCCAUUUUCCCCUUUAUUUUCCCUCUAUUUUUUUAUUUUAAAUUUUUUUUCCUAAUUCCUCCAAUUCCCACAACAACUUCCAAAUGUAUUCUUGGAAAAUUUAUUUUUUUUAACGAUGUCUAUAAUGGAAAAAAAAAAAAGAAAGAAAAACCAAAAUAAACUAAGGAGAACA